GUUAGUGUAGCUUAAUAUAAAGCAAAGCACUGAAAAUGCUUAGAUGGGUUAUCCAAUCCCACAAACA
rnacentral:tRNA from 1 species